rnacentral:tRNA from 1 species
GUCGGAGUGGCGGAAUUGGUAGACGUUCAAGGUUGAGGACCUUGUGAGCGAGUAGCUCGUGGGGGUUCAAGUCCCCCCUCCGACACCA